rnacentral:rRNA from 1 species
UGAGGAACAUGACCUUCGGCGGGGGAUAGCCGGCCCAACGGCCGGGUAAUACCGCGUACGACCUUUCGGGGACAUCCCCGGAUGGUGAAAGCAGCAAUGCGCCGAUGGAGUGCCUCGCGGCCUAUCAGCUAGUUGGUGAGGUAACGGCUCACCAAGGCGACGACGGGUANCUGGUCUGAGGAGGAUGGCCAGCCACAGUUGGGACUGAGACCACCGGCCCAGACCUCCGUACGGGGAGG